AAAAAUCCAAAUAAAUGUCACAAAAUGUUAAAAUCAUUAAACCAUACAAUAUACAUGUCUUUGUUUAUUGAAAAUUUUCAGUUGCCAGUUUUCACUUUAUGUUGGAACCAAAAACAUAGAUAAAAUGCAUUCAGAUCAUUAAGAUGUGAAAUAGUUCAUAAAAAUGAGGAAGGCCAAAUAGUGAAAACGAGUAAAAGAUGUCAAUUUAAAAAAUGAAACAGAAAAUAAGAGUAUGAAGACAUUUUUCUAAUCAAACAUUGUAAUACCUAUCAUACAUGCUUUGGACUUCAGAAAAAGCAAAACAACAAAUUACUUAACUUUAAAAAGAAGAAAGCACUUUCCCUUACCCAUUAACUGCCUAGCAUGCAUAGUAAAUAGGAAAAAAAUUUUAAAAGCAGAGACCAAAUAGUUUCCACAUACAUACCCUUUUCAACUGCAAAUUCUUUAAAUUUAGUUUGUGCUUCAUCAUACAAUCAAGAUUUUAAUUUGGAAAGUGUCAUCCAACAAAUAACAUACUCAUAAUCAUGCAUCCUAACUAAUAUCUACUUUAUUUCCUUCACAAGAACUUUGUCUGGCUGCUUCUAGAUUAACUACAGGAACUAAAUAGCAAAUGAAAAGAGAAUAUGAAGUAUGUAAAGGUGCUUCUUCCAUAAUAUACUCCAGAAACAAAAAUGUUAAUUAUUGUUAGAAAGAUAAGCAGCUCAC
rnacentral:misc_RNA from 1 species